CCUACGGGUGGCAGCAGUAGGGAAUUUUCGGCAAUGGGCGAAAGCCUGACCGAGCAACGCCGCGUGAACGAAGAAUGUCUUCGGAUUGUACAGUUCUGUUAUAGAGGAAGAAUGGUGUACGAAGGAAAUGGCGUACAAAUGACGGUACUCUGUGAGGAAGCCACGGCUAACUACGUGCAAGCAGCCGCGGUAAUACGUAGGUGGCGAGCGUUAUCCGGAAUCAUUGGGCGUAACGAGGGAGCAGGCGGCCUGGAGGGUCUAUUGUUAAAAGGCAAUGGCUUAACCAUUGUAAGGAGAAGAAACCGGCAGGCUAGAGUACUAUAGAGGUUCGUGGAAUGCGAGGUGUAGCGGUGAAAUGCGUAGAUAUAUGGAGGAACACCAGUGGCGAAGGCGACGAUCUGGGAAGAAACAGACGCUGAGUCCCGAAAGCGUGGGGAGCAAAUAGGAUUAGAUACCCGAGUAGUC
rnacentral:rRNA from 1 species